rnacentral:rRNA from 2 species
UUAAGCGACUAAGCGUACACGGUGGAUGCCCUGGCAGUCAGAGGCGAUGAAGGACGUGCUAAUCUGCGAUAAGCGUCGGUAAGGUGAUAUGAACCGUUAUAACCGGCGAUUUCCGAAUGGGGAAACCCAGUGUGAUUCGUCACACUAUCAUUAACUGAAUCCAUAGGUUAAUGAGGCGAACCGGGGGAACUGAAACAUCUAAGUACCCCGAGGAAAAGAAAUCAACCGAGAUUCCCCCAGUAGCGGCGAGCGAACGGGGAGCAGCCCAGAGCCUGAAUCAGUGUGUGUGUUAGUGGAAGCGUCUGGAAAGGCGCGCGAUACAGGGUGACAGCCCCGUACACAAAAAUGCACAUGCUGUGAGCUCGAUGAGUAGGGCGGGACACGUGGUAUCCUGUCUGAAUAUGGGGGGACCAUCCUCCAAGGCUAAAUACUCCUGACUGACCGAUAGUGAACCAGUACCGUGAGGGAAAGGCGAAAAGAACCCCGGCGAGGGGAGUGAAAAAGAACCUGAAACCGUGUACGUACAAGCAGUGGGAGCACGCUUAGGCGUGUGACUGCGUACCUUUUGUAUAAUGGGUCAGCGACUUAUAUUCUGUAGCAAGGUUAACCGAAUAGGGGAGCCGAAGGGAAACCGAGUCUUAACUGGGCGUUAAGUUGCAGGGUAUAGACCCGAAACCCGGUGAUCUAGCCAUGGGCAGGUUGAAGGUUGGGUAACACUAACUGGAGGACCGAACCGACUAAUGUUGAAAAAUUAGCGGAUGACUUGUGGCUGGGGGUGAAAGGCCAAUCAAACCGGGAGAUAGCUGGUUCUCCCCGAAAGCUAUUUAGGUAGCGCCUCGUGAAUUCAUCUCCGGGGGUAGAGCACUGUUUCGGCAAGGGGGUCAUCCCGACUUACCAACCCGAUGCAAACUGCGAAUACCGGAGAAUGUUAUCACGGGAGACACACGGCGGGUGCUAACGUCCGUCGUGAAGAGGGAAACAACCCAGACCGCCAGCUAAGGUCCCAAAGUCAUGGUUAAGUGGGAAACGAUGUGGGAAGGCCCAGACAGCCAGGAUGUUGGCUUAGAAGCAGCCAUCAUUUAAAGAAAGCGUAAUAGCUCACUGGUCGAGUCGGCCUGCGCGGAAGAUGUAACGGGGCUAAACCAUGCACCGAAGCUGCGGCAGCGACACUAUGUGUUGUUGGGUAGGGGAGCGUUCUGUAAGCCUGUGAAGGUGUACUGUGAGGUAUGCUGGAGGUAUCAGAAGUGCGAAUGCUGACAUAAGUAACGAUAAAGCGGGUGAAAAGCCCGCUCGCCGGAAGACCAAGGGUUCCUGUCCAACGUUAAUCGGGGCAGGGUGAGUCGACCCCUAAGGCGAGGCCGAAAGGCGUAGUCGAUGGGAAACAGGUUAAUAUUCCUGUACUUGGUGUUACUGCGAAGGGGGGACGGAGAAGGCUAUGUUGGCCGGGCGACGGUUGUCCCGGUUUAAGCGUGUAGGCUGGUUUUCCAGGCAAAUCCGGAAAAUCAAGGCUGAGGCGUGAUGACGAGGCACUACGGUGCUGAAGCAACAAAUGCCCUGCUUCCAGGAAAAGCCUCUAAGCAUCAGGUAACAUCAAAUCGUACCCCAAACCGACACAGGUGGUCAGGUAGAGAAUACCAAGGCGCUUGAGAGAACUCGGGUGAAGGAACUAGGCAAAAUGGUGCCGUAACUUCGGGAGAAGGCACGCUGAUAUGUAGGUGAAGCGACUUGCUCGUGGAGCUGAAAUCAGUCGAAGAUACCAGCUGGCUGCAACUGUUUAUUAAAAACACAGCACUGUGCAAACACGAAAGUGGACGUAUACGGUGUGACGCCUGCCCGGUGCCGGAAGGUUAAUUGAUGGGGUUAGCGCAAGCGAAGCUCUUGAUCGAAGCCCCGGUAAACGGCGGCCGUAACUAUAACGGUCCUAAGGUAGCGAAAUUCCUUGUCGGGUAAGUUCCGACCUGCACGAAUGGCGUAAUGAUGGCCAGGCUGUCUCCACCCGAGACUCAGUGAAAUUGAACUCGCUGUGAAGAUGCAGUGUACCCGCGGCAAGACGGAAAGACCCCGUGAACCUUUACUAUAGCUUGACACUGAACAUUGAGCCUUGAUGUGUAGGAUAGGUGGGAGGCUUUGAAGUGUGGACGCCAGUCUGCAUGGAGCCGACCUUGAAAUACCACCCUUUAAUGUUUGAUGUUCUAACGUUGACCCGUAAUCCGGGUUGCGGACAGUGUCUGGUGGGUAGUUUGACUGGGGCGGUCUCCUCCUAAAGAGUAACGGAGGAGCACGAAGGUUGGCUAAUCCUGGUCGGACAUCAGGAGGUUAGUGCAAUGGCAUAAGCCAGCUUGACUGCGAGCGUGACGGCGCGAGCAGGUGCGAAAGCAGGUCAUAGUGAUCCGGUGGUUCUGAAUGGAAGGGCCAUCGCUCAACGGAUAAAAGGUACUCCGGGGAUAACAGGCUGAUACCGCCCAAGAGUUCAUAUCGACGGCGGUGUUUGGCACCUCGAUGUCGGCUCAUCACAUCCUGGGGCUGAAGUAGGUCCCAAGGGUAUGGCUGUUCGCCAUUUAAAGUGGUACGCGAGCUGGGUUUAGAACGUCGUGAGACAGUUCGGUCCCUAUCUGCCGUGGGCGCUGGAGAACUGAGGGGGGCUGCUCCUAGUACGAGAGGACCGGAGUGGACGCAUCACUGGUGUUCGGGUUGUCAUGCCAAUGGCACUGCCCGGUAGCUAAAUGCGGAAGAGAUAAGUGCUGAAAGCAUCUAAGCACGAAACUUGCCCCGAGAUGAGUUCUCCCUGACUCCUUGAGAGUCCUGAAGGAACGUUGAAGACGACGACGUUGAUAGGCCGGGUGUGUAAGCGCAGCGAUGCGUUGAGCUAACCGGUACUAAUGAACCGUGAGGCUUAACCUU